GCCUCUGUGGUGUAGUGGAAGCACAACAGUUUCCUAAACUGUUAGCUCGGGUUCGAUUCCCGGUAGAGGUG
rnacentral:tRNA from 1 species